UUGUUAGGUGAAUGGAGUUGUAUUAUGGCCCUUUUAUACACUUUACUUGGACAAGUUGGUUCACUGAACUAAUGGUAUUGUUCUGAGGAAAGAAAUGCAUCUGUUCGCUCAACUCAUUUUGGCCACUUUAAUAAAUAACUGAGCUGCACCCACUUGCUGAGAUGAUUUCUGUGGAAGUCAACACUACUUGCAUGAGUAAAGCUAGCAGGAUCUGGCAUCAAAUCUCUGACCCCUGCAUCACUCUGGAUAUGGAAUAAAUAGUACCUGCUUAGCAAGCAGGUCUUGUAUAUUUGG